CGGGAACUGUAACACGCUGUAGUAUAUAUGGAUCCAGAGCAUCCCACACGUGCUCAAUGGGUGACAUGUCUGGUGAGUAUGCAGGUCAUGGAAAAACUGGGACUUUUUCAGCUUCCAGGGAUUGUGUACAGAUCCUUGUGACAUGGGGCCGUGCAUUAUCAUGAGGUGAUGGGGGCGGAUGAAUAACAACAAUGGGCCUCAGGAACUCGUCACAGUAUCUCUGUGCAUUGAAAUUGCCAUCGAUAAAAUGCAAUUGUGUUCAUUGUUCUUAGCUUAUGCCUGCCCAUACCAUAACCCCACCGCCACCAUGGGGCACUCUGUUCACAACGAUGACAUCUGCAAACCGCUCGCCCACACGACAUCUGUCAUCUGCCCGGUACAGUUGAAACCGGGAUUCAUCUGUGAAGGGCACACUAUUUCAGUGUGCCAGUGGCCAUUGAAGGUGAGCAUUUUCCCGCUGAAGUUGGUUACAAUGCCGAACUGCAGUCAGGUCAAGACCCCGGUGAGGACGACGACCACGCAGAUGAGUGUCCCCGAGACGGUUUCUGACAGUUUGUGCAGAAAUUCUUCAGUUGUGCAAACCCAGAGUUUCAUCAGCUGCCCGGGUAGCUGGUCUCAGACCAUCCUGCAGGUGAAGAAGCCAGAUGUGGAGGUCCUGGGCUGGCGUGGAUACACGUGGUCUGCGGUUGUGAGGCUGGUUGAACGUACUGCCAAAUUCUCUAAAACAACGUUGGAGGCGGCUUAUGGUAGAGAAACAUUACAUUCUCUGGCAACCGCUCUGGUGGAGAUUCCUGCAUCAUUCAGCAUGCCAAUCACACCAAUCUGUGACAUUUGUAGAGUGGCCUUUUAUUGUCCCCAGCACAAGGUGCACCUGUGUAAUGAUCAUGCUGUUUAAUCAGCUUCUUGAGAUGCCACACCUGUCAGGUGGAUGGAUUAUCAUGGCAAAGGAGAAAUGUUCACUAACAGGAAUGUUAACAAAUUUGUGCACAACAUUUGAGAAAAAUAAGCUUUUUGUGCGACUGGAAAACGUCUGGGA
rnacentral:lncRNA from 1 species